GUUCAGACUCUACGUCGACGUUAUAACGAUAUCGAAUUUUGAGGGACACUGAUUUGAAAUGAUGACUGGAACAAGAAUUGGCGUGGUGUUCCUCACGCUAUUGUUUAACGCCGACCUGACAUUUGUCGCCGCGAUACAAAAUAUCAGCGAAUUUGCGGCUUGUCCGGCCGAUACAUUCGAUUAUCGUUUGCCAACAGAUGUGAUACCUCAUCAGUAUAAAAUCAAACUGCUCAUAAAUAACGAGAGUUUCGUCGGGGAGUACAAAGCAAUCAUCGAAGUACUUCGUGCAACCGCGAUUAUUGCUUUCCACAGUUACAACUUGCAUGUGCAUCAACAAACGAUACGGAUUUUGAAGUCUGAACAAAACAGUCAAAAUCUGGUCAAAAAAUUGGAAUCAAUUACUUAUUGCUACAAUGUACAGACCAUUAUUUUCGAAUUCCAAGAGCAACUAUCCCCUGGAAAUUAUACGCUAAGCAUGGAAUACGAGGGAUAUAUGGAUAGCAGCCUUGGCUUGGUGCCGGUCCAAAGCUCGAAAUAUGUUAAGACGUUGUCGUACGUGACGCUAUUUGAACCGGUCGGGGCUCGACACUUAUUCCCGUGCUGGGAUGAGCCGACGUUCAAAGCUAUCUUCGACAUUUCUGUCGAGCACUCGUUCACAGCCAAUGUCUUCUCGAUUAUGCCGUAUUCCGGAAAAAGGACAUUAACAUCAACACAGAAAGUAUUGACGACAUUUGCGUCCACACCGAGAAUGUCCACUUACCUGGUGACGAUCGCGAUCGUUGAAACCACUCUAAAAUGCGUGGUAGAGGACAAGAUCGAGAUUUGGUUCAAGUGGAACCUUGAAGAUCAAAUAGAUGUCGUCCGAGAGAUCAGUAAACUGGCCAAUUACUUUUUAACUGUUUACACAAGUUACUUGUGGGAUGUUAUGGGGAUCAAUAUCCUCGCAUUCACGAAAUUCCCGAGUAAUCCUGUGGGAGCCUGGGAACUCGCAGUUUUCAGAGAAGCUGAUCUCCUCUACGAACCAGACUUUCAUUUUCCCGGUCGCAAACUGGAGAUCUGGAAAUCGGUAGCAAGUCAAUUGACACGGCAGUGCAUCGAGAGUUUCGUCAGCCCAGUGAAAUGGUCUCACUUGUGGCUCAGUCGUGCAUUUGCAGAGUUGCUCAAAUAUAAAAUCGUCGGCAAGCAUUAUGGAGAAGAUAUUAUGAUGCAACUGUUUGUAGUACAGGUGCAACAGCCUGCUAUGCAUAAUGAUAUUGAGUUUCAAGUACCAUCUAUCAUACAGGAAUAUGACUCAAUUUAUUCUAAUCUUGUUUACAAGAAAGCAUCCGCUUUGAUAAGAAUGUUGGAAAAUAUUAUCACAGAGAGCAAGUUGCAGCUGGCAUUGGAGGAAUAUUUAAAGACAUAUGCUUACGGAUCUGCCACACAAUAUGAUUUUUUGAGGAUCCUGGAUGACGAAAUAUAUCAAGCAAAUUAUACAAAGCCCUUUACCAUAGGAGAAAUAAUACACAUCUGGCUGUCGCAAAAAAGCUAUCCAAUAUUGCUUACUGAAUCCAAUGAUGAUGACACGGGAUCAACCGUUCUACCUUAUAACAUGAAAUAUCCCGACAAAUACCGACAGAAAUGGCCAAUACCUGUGACAUUCACGACACAAAAGAAUCCUAAUCUCGUGGGGAAUUUAUCUAUAUUAUGGCAGAACCACAAUUCGUCGCAAAAGAAUAAAAACUCCAUAAAUAUCGAGCAUCAUCCGAAUGAUUGGAUUAUACUUAACGUACAACAAUUCGGCUACUACCGCGUCAAUUACGAUGUGAAAAACUGGAUAAAAAUAGCUGAUUUCCUAGACAAUGAUGACCACACACAGAUACAUGUCUUAAAUCGUGCUCAGAUCAUCGAUGAUGCGUAUCAUUUUAAAAUGAGCAACACAUUAAAUUACAAGGUUUUCUACAAGUUGAUCAGAUACUUGCGGAAAGAGACGAGUUUCAUAGUAUGGCACUCUAUGAUAAAUGUUCUGCAGUAUUUGUCGCCUUAUUUCAAUUACCCAGACAGUAAAAAUUUCAAGUUAUUUAUAUUGAACGUCAUGGAAAACGUUUUGUCGAUUAUCGGAUACGACGAAACUCCUGCGGACGAUGACAUGUUGAGAGCAACACGGUUGCUACUUCUCAAUUGGAUGUGUAAACACGGCCAUGCUGAAUGCAGAAAGAGGGCCUAUGAUAAACUGAUAGCACAUAUCAAUUAUCCAAAAGAGAAUAAAAUUUUACCGGGAUGGGAAGACUGGACGCAUUGCGCAGGCCUUAUGAAUACAAAUAUUACCAAUGGAUAUAUACUGCUGCUCGACAUCAUGCAUGGACAUGACAAAGUAAUGUUAAAUAACAUACUGUGUUUUGAAGACGAAUUCUUGCUCCAGGAGUUAUUGGCACUGGCCACAUUCAAACCUGAGGGUAAAUGGAAAGAAUUGGGAGAUGCAGAGCUGAAGAAAUUUUAUCACGACUUUAUGAAGAAGCACGCGAGGAAGGCCCAAGUGCUUGAUUUUAUUCUGAACAGUUUUGUGGUAUGACAUACAUAGAGGGGAUGGCUGAAGUUAUUAUGAGCCUUUAUUCCAGAUGCCAACUUGAAGAAGUAUGGCAAUACGUGAUAAGAAAGCACAAAAAUAACUCGGAUAUAAUCGAA
rnacentral:misc_RNA from 1 species